rnacentral:rRNA from 1 species
UACAGAGGUCCCGAGCGUUGUUCGGAUUCAUUGGGCGUAAAGGGUGCGUAGGCGGCGGGGAAAGUCUGAUGUGAAAUCCUGGGGCUCAACCCUGGAACUGCAUUGGAUACUUCCUUGCUAGAGUACUGGAGAGGAAACUGGAAUUUACGGUGUAGCAGUGAAAUGCGUAGAGAUCGUAAGGAAGACCAGUGGCGAAGGCGAGUUUCUGGACAGCUCCUGACACUGAGGCACGAAAGCUAGGGGAGCAAAGCAGG